CCGCCUCCUCUCUAAGGUUAUGCUAGGAAGGUUCAGGCGGUGACGUAACUUUCCGCUUUAGGUGGCCUUCCGCUCCGGCGGCUCGGGAGGGGGUUCGGGGAACAUCGAGUAGCGUCCCCGAUCCCUCCGCCUUUGGAAGUGCCAUGAGAUCGGUUAGCUACGUGCAGCGCGUGGCGCUGGAGUUUAGCGGGAGCCUCUUCCCGCACGCAAUCUGCCUCGGGGACGUAGACAACGACACGUUAAAUGAACUUGUGGUGGGAGACACCAGCGGGAAGCUGUCUGUGUAUAAGAAUGAUGAUAGCCGGCCAUGGCUUACCUGUUCCUGCCAGGGAAUGCUGACCUGCGUUGGGGUUGGAGAUGUAUGUAAUAAAGGAAAGAACCUGUUGGUGGCAGUGAGUGCUGAAGGCUGGUUUCACUUGUUUGACCUGACACCUGCCAAGGUCCUGGAUGCUUCUGGACACCAUGAGACACUAAUGGGGGAGGAGCACCGUCCAGUCUUCAAGCAGCACAUCCCUGCCAACACCAAGGUCAUGCUGAUCAGCGACAUCGAUGGAGAUGGGUUUUGCGAGCUGGUGGUGGGCUACACAGACCGUGUGGUGCGGGCUUUCCGCUGGGAGGAGCUAGGUGAGGGCCCUGAACACCUGACAGGGCAGUUGGUGUCCCUCAAGAAAUGGAUGCUGGAGGGUCAGGUGGACAGUCUCUCGGUGACUCCAGGGCCUCUGGGUGUUCCUGAACUGAUGGUAUCUCAGCCAGGCUGUGCUUACGCAAUUCUACUGUGUUCCUGGAACAAGGAUAUUAAGUCCCCUCCUUCCUCUGAGGGGGCCACAGAGGGUAGUAGGGAGACACCAGCUGCCCGAGAUGUGGUGCUGCACCAGACAUCUGGCCGUAUCCACAACAAGAAUGUCUCCACUCACCUGAUUGGCAACAUCAAACAAGGCCACGGCUCUGAGAGUGGUGGCUCUGGCCUUUUUGCCCUGUGCACCCUGGAUGCCUGCGUCUGCCCCACAGGGACACUGAAGCUCAUGGAGGAGGCAGACAAGCUGCUCUGGUCAGUGCAGGUGGAUCACCAGCUUUUCGCCCUGGAGAAAUUAGAUGUCACGGGCAAUGGGCACGAGGAGGUAGUUGCCUGUGCCUGGGAUGGACAGACGUAUAUUAUCGAUCACAACCGCACUGUCGUCCGCUUCCAAGUGGAUGAAAAUAUCCGUGCCUUUUGUGCAGGCCUGUAUGCCUGCAAAGAGGGCCGCAACAGCCCCUGCCUUGUGUACGUCACGUUCAACCAGAAGAUCUACGUGUACUGGGAGGUGCAGCUGGAGCGGAUGGAGUCCACCAACCUGCUGAAGCUGCUGGAGGCUGAGCCGGAGUACCGCAGCCUGCUGCAGGAGCUGGGCGUGGAUCCUGAGGACCUCCCUGCAACGCGUGCCCUACUUCACCAAACCCUCUACCACCCGGCCCAGCCAACACAGCGCACCCCUACAAGCCUCCAGGAUCCCACUUAGCUGGACCUGCCCUCACAGCUGCACUUUGGGUCAGGCUCCGAGUGUGGGUGCCUUACCUUGAGAGAGAGCAGGGUCUGCAGCCCCAGACAGAAUUCAGGACUCUCGACAUCUGCAGGAACCAUUUGAAAACUGAAGAAGCUGAAGGUGCCCAGUAAUCACUGCUGCCCUCCUCUCAGCCCUCACCCCUUCUCUGCCCCCACGUCCCCCACGCCCCAGCUCUGUGCAUGUCGGCACAGAGCUGGGGACAACCAGAGCAUCUCUAGGGCACCUUGUGCUGGCAAUGGCUGAAAGUCCCUGCCUCUGCCCCACCCAGAAGAGAAAGGUAGAAGAGGUGAGAAUCUGGGCCCUCAAGGAGGGGAGGACUUACCCACCACCUGUGCCGAGCAUGCCACAGUCUUCUGCCCUAGCUGGAGCUCCAGCUGCUCCACCUGGGUUGUGGGCUCAGGUGCCAGGUCCCCAGCUGGGACUUCUGGGACCCUCUUCCCUAGCCUGUGGUUGAGAAGCAAAGGUUAUGGCCACGAGUGCCCCCACCAGCUCACACACUUCCGUUAAUCAGCUGAUGUCCCCAUCUACUAUACUUGGGGUUCUCCUUUAGUGCCUCCACAGGGCCAAAUCCUUAUCUUCUCUGCCAAAAUCUCCUAGCCGUUCUUUUCUUAAAUAACAGCUUUAUUGAAAUAUAUACCCUAAAAUUCACUCUUUUAGAGUGUCCAAUCGGUGGGGUUUAGUAUAUUCACAGAGUUGUGUACCCCUCCCCCACCCCAAACACGUGUUUGGGCCACACUCUUACCCCAGGCGGCUGAGGCAGCCCGCAGAGAUCUGAUUGUGCUGGGUGCCUGUGUCCACGGCCACUCUGAGCAGCUGGUCCUGGCACUGAGGAAGAAGGAUCGUGGUGGAUCAAGUGAAAUAAACUGAAAGUGAAAUAGGCGUCUCUGGAUCAUGCUGUGUGGCUGCUGGGUCUUUAAAACUGAUUUUUGUAUGACUCUUAUGAGUGAGGCAAAAUUGACUCUCAGAUAAAGGAAUCAAACAAGGAAGUGGAACUAUACAUGGUGAGUCCAUAAGUUUGGGAAAGAUCUUGCCAGAAAUGGAGACGUUUGUUUAGAGGAAUCCUUGGGAGGCUGGGGCCUCCUGGCUAGAGAACUCCAGGUUGGGAAUAGAGGAGGGAUGAGAAGGAGACUGGGAUCCCUUGUUGGGAAACUCAGACGUGAGUCACCAAGAUGCCCACUGCUGGAAACCAAGAAAGACAAGUUCAGUUUCUUUGGGUUAUAUAUGAACAUUUUGUUGUACAUGUGAAGAUACACACACACCCCAAGUUUCCUCAUUCCAAACAUUUACUGGACACCUACUAUGCAUGAGAUAUAUUACUGGAAGGCACAUCAAUGAAUGCUGUUCUUUAGGAGUCUAAUGGAGGUAAGUUGUUACUACUAUAUGGUAGGAAGUUUUAAGGUCUAUAAGAGGAUGUGAGCAAAGUGCCUAAAGGUUGAGAGGGAGGAAAGGCUGUUUCUGCCUGGGGAAAUCAGAAAAGGUUUCAAGGUGGAGGUAAUAUCUGAGCUGGGCCUUAAAAGAUUAUAGAAGAAUGUGGACAUAGAAUGAUUGGAAAGCAAGAAGAGAGCUAUCUAGACAGACGAAAUGCUGCACCAAGAUGGAUGGCAGCAGAAGACCAGUGGGCAUUUACUGGUAAUGGUUCAGUAGGGACUGGGUAGCUAAAUGGCUCCAGAGAUGACAAGGCUGUCACCUUGGCACGCACAAGCUUAUUCCAGGAGAGUUGCAUUAUACAUACAUGCACACACCAUUUGUAUAUGUAGAGCACACUGAAGAGUAUUUAGGUAUUCACAUUUAAAUAUUAUACUUUGAUCAAGGAAAGGGGGUAGAGUAACGAUGGUGACAUAUGGAACUGCACAGAUGGAAGAUGGGGCGAGGCAGGGAGGAAAGAAGAUAGAGGUCCCCAUGUUUAGGUCCAGGCUAUGGGGAUGGUGCCUUUUCUUCUUCCUCCCUCCCUUACAAGUCAGGACAGAAAAGAGCCAGCUGCAGGAAGGGUUGUUGAU